GUGACCUGCAUUCGCAUCCAAGGAGAGCCGCUGGCAUCCUUUUUCGCUUCAGCCACUGAGGGUCAUACUUUUUGAUGAUCCUGCCGGGGUAAUUUUAGGAUCCUGUGCUACUGGAAGAUCGCCGGAGAACAGUUUGUGGCUUGGAAACCAUAAGGCGUGUCUAAUGAAGGGUUACAGAAUGGUUUGCGGUUUGUAAAACUACAAAAUGCGUAUGGAACACGACAAAAAUAUGAUUUACGAUCAAGAAAAUUUCAAGCACGAAGCAGAACUCGAAACACGUUCAAUCACGAACUAAUCCAACCACACUAAACAAAAAUAAAUACCUAGGUAGACGUUCGAUACGAAACACGUUCAGAAUCUCAC